rnacentral:rRNA from 1 species
GACAGAGGGUGCGAACGUUUGUUCGGAAUUACUGGGCGUAAAGCGCAUGUAGGCGGCAGCGCAAGUCGGGCGUGAAAUCCCACGGCUCAACCGUGGAAGUGCACUCGAAACUGCGCAGCUAGAGUCCUGGAGAGGAAGGUGGAAUGCUUGGUGUAGAGGUGAAAUUCGUAGAUAUCAAGCGGAACACCGGUGGCGAAGGCGGCCUUCUGGACAGUGAC